UUCUUUACAGAUUGGAUCACAGCUUUAUCUUAUAGUCAAAAAUGGUAUCCCAAACAGACCAUGAUGUCUAAACUGAGGUUCCUUGGUGGAUACCUGAUCACUGGUUGCCCAUGAUCUAUGCCUCCUCUUUGUCUUUAUCGACUUAACUUGAAGCUACUGCAGGGCUCCCUAUGGGAAAAGCACACUUAUCUUGGUUCCUUUUCUCUUAGAUUUUCCAACCCUAUCUUCUUUCUGCCUUCUAGGAAUUCUCAAAAAUUUCUAUUUGCUGAUGACACCACUAUUGCUUUUCACAGUUUUUGUGGUUUGUCCUUUUAAAAAUAUGUGACAUUUCAUUGCUUGACUUCCUUAAAGCUAGAUCCUAAGCCCCAUUCUUCCAGUCCACUCCCAAGACUUCAUAUAACGUGAUGGUUAAUUUUAUAUGUCAUUGUGGCUGCAUUAAAGGAUGGGAAGAUAGCAAGUAAAACUUUAUUUUGGGGUGUGUCUGUGAGGGUGUUUCUGGAAAAGAUUACCAUUUGAAUCAAUAGACUGAGUAAAAAAGGUCCACUCUCACCACUGAAGGUGAGCAUCCUCCAAACACUCCAGGUUCCACAUAGAACAAAAAGGCAGAGGAAGGGCAAAUUUACUGUCUCUGCUUGAGCUAGGACAUCCAUCUUCUGCUGCCUUCUCCUGCCCUUGAACAUUGGAGCUCCUGCUUCCCAGACCUCGUAAUUCUGAUACUUAUACCAGCAACAUCCUGUUUCUCAGCCUUUGGCCUCAGAUUAAAUUAUACCACCAGCUUUCCUGGUUCUCCAGCUUGCAGAUGCUGUACUUUGAGAUCUCUUGGCUCCAUAAUCAUGAAAGCCAAUUCCCAUUAUAAAUGUCAUCUUAUAUCUAUAUACAUCUAUACCUGUCUGUCUAUUUAUCUCCAGUUGGUUCUGUUUCUCUGGAGAACUCUGAUGAAUACAUAUACCAAAGACUCCUCAAGUUACAUCAGCCUAGGCUUCUCCUGGGAACUCAAGUUCCAUGUGUCCAGGGGCCUAAAUGUCAUCUAUAUAUCUCAAAGGCAGUUUAAAUUCAAUGUGUUCAAAGUCUAACUUGUGAUAGGCCCUCUUCUUCCAAUGUUUCCAUUCCAAAGAAUGUUGUCACCAUUUAUCCAAUUAUUCAAGUCAAAAGCAUAAGAGCCUUCUAUUAUAAAUUUUUCUUUCUUACCCUCCACAUCCAGUUCUUUACAAAGUCUGGUUGACUUUUACAAUAAACUGAAGUAUUUCUCAAGUUAGUCUUUUUCUCUUCAUUUCUUUCACCUUCACUCUUGUCCAAGCUACCAUCAUGUCUACUGUAAAAAUCUCCUAAUUGAUCUUCAAUUCUCUUUUGCCUCCCCUAACCACCCCCACCAUUCAUUCUUUACCCAAUACCCAGAGUGAUCUUUGAAACAUAACAGCAACAACACAGAUCAUAUCAUUUAUUUGCUUAAAACCCUUUAAUGUCUUCCCUUUACUCUGAGGAUAAAGUCCAAAAUUCUCAACAUGCCUGGUAAGAUUCUGCCUGGUCCACCCACCUCUCUGGUCUCAUCUCCGUCCACACUCUCCUCACCUUAGUGUUCUAGCUACACUAGUCUUUCCAUUCCAGAAAUCCACCGUGUUCUCUACAUCUCAGGUCAUUUGCACAUGUGGGUCACAGUGACUGGCAUGCUCCCCUCCCUCCUCCACUCCAUCCUUAAUUUAUCCAGCCCCUCUAGGGGGCCAUAGCAGUGUCUUUCAUAGUAUCCAACUUAGUCUGGGGGAUCAGGGAAGGCUUCUCUGAAGAAGGAGCAGCAGGGCUGAGAUCUUUGCUGCUGUAAGUAUACAUGUCUGCAGUCCAAAAGCUUCAGUUAAAGUCUGUUCUACUUUGUAUAUUAAUAGGAACCUCAUUCAUUUCAUUUGCAUUAAGCCAUGCUAAUCCCAGAAUUUUUUUAGAAAAGAUAUAUCAAACACUCAUAUGGCACUUACCACAUGCCAGCCACUGUUUUAAGGCCUUACAUCUAUCAAUUCUUCAGAGCGGUCCUCUGAGGACCUGAUGAUUGAUUUAGCAUCUUUGGCAUCCGGCCACUGCUCUGCUUGGCCAUACUGCUGCCUUCACCCUCAGCUGUUGCAACUCUUUUGGCCACUUUGUGUAACUGCCCUGCCAAGCCCUGCUUCCUGGCUGUCCAAAGAAAGAAGUGUUUCCUACAGGAGAUCACAACAAAAGGAUGAAAUCUGGGGUGCAGGGGAAGGGUAGCUUCUGAAGCUGGAAAAUAAAGAAGUAAGGAAGGGAGACUGUGGAAUUUACCAGGGAGGGAAACUAAUAUUUCCUUUCAUAUAAGUUGGUACUAUUCUGGCUUUUUACCAUGAUCAUAUAUUAUAUUCAAAAUAAAGCUCUUGUUUUUGAAACAAAAAAAUAUAAACAAAGGAAGGAAGGAUGUUCAUUUAUUUAGAUAAUAGAUACCUAGUGAACCCCUAGUAGACCUUGUACUGGGUCCUGGGGACACUGGUGACCAGGUUCCAUUCCUGAUCUCCUGGAGCAGGGGACACGAAAAGACAUUAAGCAAAUAAUUACACAUCUUUUUACAUCAGUACAAAUGUUGGGACUUUGCAAGAGUUCCACCCUGAAAGCUUCUGUUUUCACUGAAAGAGAGGAGGCAAGGUCAUUUGUUCAUAAAAGCAAUGGAAUUGAGUAGGGGACUUGAAAGAAAUGAUGAGGCUAGGAAAAGCAGCUAUAGGAAAGGGGGCACCAGUCAGACUAAGAAUAUGUAACCAGAGCACAGCUGUGCAUACUUUGCUUGAAUGUCUCCAAGUUCAAAUCCAAGAACUUGAUAUUUUAGGUUGAUUCUAUGUGUAACCUAUUUGUUUUUAAAGAGUAGAGUCUUUUUCUUCCAGCAUGUGUUAGUUAGCCCUGUCUUUAUCACAUCACCACCACCAAUUGUCAUUUGCAGAAGUAUCUUCAACUCAUCAUAAAUUUACUAGUAAUAGCUAACUCAUGUCUAUAGAACUGUUAAGUGACAAGAUAAUAUUUAGAUUAAAAGCUAUAGUUGCAUUCUUAUUAGAGACUUAAUCAGAUUUUAACAUGCUCCUCACAGGGGCCAUUUAGCCCUAUUCUGCUGGGCUUUGGCAAGCACUGAAUGAUUGCCCUCCUAGGGCAGAGGUACUGCAGCCCUGGUUAAGCAUUGAAAAGAUGAUAUUACCAAUAAGUUGACUCUAAUUGUAAACAACAUAUUUAAACAAUUACAUCUUAAUUAAAUUCUUAUAAAUUAUAAGUGCCUCAGAACUUUCUUUCUUAAUCUCAAAUGCAUGUUUCUUAAAAUCAUUCACUAUUUUAUGAGAAUAUAUUUGCUGAAUAUUAGAAAAAAGAGUUAAAAAUAAAAGGCAU
rnacentral:lncRNA from 10 species